rnacentral:tRNA from 1 species
UGGCUCAGACGGUAAAGCGUCUGCCUGCAAUGCAGGAGACCCAGGUGCGAUUCCUGG